rnacentral:lncRNA from 1 species
CCUAAGUUUGCCCAAUCAAUUUCUUCUACCCUACCAUCGGCAGAUAUAGCAUUUUUGCCCAAGGUAGAUAAGGAUGACGUAACAAACGAAAUUCAGAUGGAAGAAAUUGCCGCUUAAGCUACUUGGGUA